rnacentral:sRNA from 1 species
UUAUUUGAAUUUUGAUAACCAACAAUCAUACAUGAAUAAUUGUUUCCAUCAAUUUUUCAUAAAAGUUUAAAAGUUUAAGGUUUUGUUUUCUUUCUUCUUACAUCAUGUAAACAAACUUGACCAUUAGUUUGUAGUGGUAGCAUUUCUCACAUGUGUUAUGCAUGUUAUUUGAGUUACAUAUGUAUGGUGGUAUCAUUGCCCAUAGUGAGAUGAUAUAAUCUUCAUUCCUUAUAAUCCUGAUUUCAUAAAGUGUAGUUUUGAUAUUUUUCCAGCAUUUUUCAACUACAGAUUCAUUUAUCUUCUACAGCAGGUGCUCAAUAUAUGUUUUCUCAAUUUCAAUCUCUCCACUGCACAAAUUUAUCUAUCCAUAGAGAUAAAAAGCCUCAAUGGUAGGUGAUGGUGCAUUUACAGCAUUUUUGAAAAAAUGUAACCCAUCAGUUGUAUUGUUGUAAUAAAAAUAAUCAAGAACUCUUUGAUUGUGCGGUGGGGUUAAAAUGGAGUAGGCAUUUCACCAUUAGAUUAAUGUAGUUCUCAAUAGGAAGCAACACCUUCCUUUGAAGCAUACGCAAUUCCAAUUUUUUGAAAACUUUGACAUCAUCAGCCGAGAUUUACGAAUUCCUUGCAAGUGAGUAGGCAAUUUGAAACAUCAACAAGGGGUUUUUGGCCUACAUUCUUUACUAUUUUAGAAAGAACAUCUCGAGGGAGUGCAUCAAGCGGUGUUGAACGUUUCAGUCCAAAAGGUUAGGAUUGAUGGUGAGUUACUAUGGAUGCUCUUAGUAUCCUAUACAUUUUGUGUUGUUCAUCCAUUACGAAAAAUAAUAGAUAUUAGAAUUUACAAUAUGAAUGGACACUUUGGUAGGUGUACAAUUCAUAUACACAAAAUGAUGGAUGGAAAAUAAUGAUGAGAAUGAUGUGCAUGCCCUGUCACUCGUACGUAAAAGCCUUGAGUGUGGUAAAUGUUAGGUUUCCCUUAUUUAUUUAUAAGAGCAUUAAAUUGUAAUGAUGUCUAACAUGUAAUGGUGAUUGAUUAGUAUUGUUUAGAUAACACUUUUUUUUUAAUGGUCGGUAAUUUAAGUAGUGGCGAAACCGCACGGUGCGAUGUUGUUUCAAUUGUAACAAAAAUAUCUACAUAAUAUAUAUGUGUAUGUAUAUAUUUUCGUUACUAUUUGAACCGCACUACACUUGAUCCGCAGUUGAACCGUUCAUCUUCAUUCGAAGCCUAGUUUAUAGGUGUAUUUAUAUAUACAUUUUGUUUGGUAUAUUAGUAAGUGUACAUAUAUAUAUUAAGUAUUUAUUUUUGUGAUUGUUAUUCUUUUUUGUUUUUAUGUUUUUUUCAUUUGUGUCUUAUGCCUAUCAUAUGGCUUAAUAUUGCCGAGUAAAGCUUUUCAUUUUUGUAUUAAUGUAUGGUUUGCUUUUGUUGUAAUCCUAAUUGUUUAACUUUUACAAACUUGUGAUCAGCUAUAA